GGCAUUUUAGAUGCUUUUGAAUCUCCUUUUACCGUGAUGCCCAGCCAUCACGAGUGGCUGAGAAUUUACAAAAAUAUAAUAUACUGACCCAACACCCAUCGAAAUAUGCUCUAUCCAAAUAAGUGCAAAAAGACUGUUCCAAAGACCAACAAUUCAGUGAUAACAUGACAAACAGAUUCAGCACUCCUUAUUUUAAGGAAAUGUCAUCUUUAUUGUGUUCUCACCAGUUUCAACAUUUUCUUCCCAUCAUAUAGAUCUUUCUCACACUUGGCUUGAGAAAGACCUACAUGAAUAGUCAAAAUGUUACCACUAGCGAGGGUUCAAUAAAGGAAUUGCUUGCUUAAAGAAAAAUAGAAUGCUGGCUUGUUUGACAUUGUAUCAAGUAUGGCUGAGCAUUAUGGGAAAUGUAGUCCACAAACAUCUACAGUGCCAGGGUUAACCAUUGCAGUUGAUAACAUAGCAUAUCAUCCAUAGCCUAUCUCUUUAAUCUAUUACAUUACAAGGGCCAUAACCGUGACUUCACCAAUAAGACGCUUAGAAAGAUUUCAUUAUUGAUAAUUCUUUAGUCAACUAUUCCAAGUGAGCUGUGAUGAGAGCUCACCUUUAACCAGUUCACGACAGGUUUAAUAUAACUGCUGUCCAUCACAAUGUAUAUGUUUAUAUACCAAGUGUCCCUGGUUAAAGGGAAAAUCUGGUCAAUUCUUACCCAUCACCAAUAUAGAACAUGAAAAAAAUUUAAAAUAAGAACAAUAAAAGCAGAUUUUAAAACACAAGUUUGGGUAUCCCUUUUUUUCAACUCAUAACAACUUAGGUUUGAUUUAUCCUGCUUUUUGUUCACAGAGUUUGUCUUACACAGCUACACGGUACAAGUAAGGGCAGGUCUGUUCUAGCAAUACAGGGCAAACUCCAGACGGAGCCAGAGAUAACCAGCUAAAUUUUAGGCAUGACAAUAAAGGCAAAGGUAGCUCAGAAAGGAAAAAUGGACUGUGGCACAAGACUAAGGAUAGUCAUAAAUAAUGCUUAAGACAAUACUAAGUGAUGCAAAGCUCAGAUUUUAUUUACUGCAAAAAACGAUAUGGU